rnacentral:lncRNA from 1 species
CUAUUAGCCCUGUGACUCUGAGUAGGUAACUUGAGAACUCUGAGUCUCCAUCCCCUCAUCUGUAAAACAGGCAUUGCUGUGAUCUGAAUGUUUGUGUCCCCCCAGAAUUCAUAUGUUGAAACCUAAUCACCAAUGUGAUGGUAUUAGGAGGUGGGGCCUUUGGGAGGUGAUUAGGCCAUGAGGGUGGAGCCCUCACUAAUGGGAUUAGUGUUCUUAUAACAGAGGCCCAGAGAGCUGCCUGGCCCCUUCCACCAUGUGAGGACUAUCAACCAGGAAAUGGGCCUUCACCAGGCACUGAAUAUGCCAGUGCCUUCUUCUUGGACUACCCAGUCUCCAGAAAUGUGAGAAAUAAAUUUAUGUUAUUUAUAAGCCAUCUAGUCGAUGGUAUUUUGUUAUAGCAACCCAAAUGGACUAUUGAGAGACAGGACUAGCUGGAUUUCCUAGGCCGACUAAGAAUUCCUAAGCCUAGCUGGGGAAGGGGACUGCACCCACCUUUAAAUACGGGGCUUGUUACUCAGCUCACACCUGACCAGUCAGGUAGUAAAGAGAGCUCACUAAAAUACCCAUUAGGCUAAAAGCAGGAGGUAAAGAAAUAGUCAACCAUCUAUCACCUGAGAGCACAGGGGGAGGGACAAUGAUCAGGAUAUAAACCCAGGCAUUCGAACCAGCGGUGGCAACCCCCUUUGGGUCCCCUCCCGUUGUAUGGGAGCUCUGUUUUCACUCUAUUAAAUCUUGCAGCUGCACACUCUUCUGGUCCGUGUUUGUUCUGGCUCAAGCUGAGCUUUUGCUCACCGUCCACCACUGCUGAUUGCCGCUGUCGCAGACCCGCCGCUAACUUCCACCCCUCCGGAUCCAGCAGGGUGUACGCUGCGCUUCUGAUCAGCAAGGCGCCCAUCCAUUGCCGUUCCCUAUCGGGCUAGAGGUUCGCUAUUGUUCCUGCAUGGCAAAGUGUCGGGGUACCAGGUAUGAAGCACCAGCCAUAGAGGAGGCUUGACAAUGGAGAAAACACCAUCGCCAGUGACAAACCUCUUGAAUAGGAAGGAAAGGCCAGGGUGAAGGGGCAUGGUAAGCAUCCUAGAAUCACAUACACAGGGGUUGUUGGCACCAGAAGAGGAUACAUGAACCAUUUUGUCUGAAGAUUCAAACUCAAAUGGAAACAAGUGAAGUAGAUGGCUCUAAGCCAACAAGCCACGCUGGACUGGUAGAACAGGAGAUCGCAUGCCCUGGUAGAUAAAGGCAUUCAAAAAUCAGCUACAGACAAAAUCUUUUGCCAGCCAAAUAAAAUAAAGAUGAAGAAACCGGUUCAGAAGUACAAGUGCCUGCCAGUUAAUGACAGCCCUGUUAUUGGAAGCUAGGUCUUCUGACUCCUAAGCAAGACAUUGUCAAGACAAUGAGGGAGGAAGCAGGGUUUGUGGAGGAGCCAGCUCCAACACAGAUCGGCCCUUGAGCCUCAGAGGUGGGCCUCUGAGCACUUUCAGAACCAGCUUUGUUCUAAUGCAGAUUCCAAAGAAAGGAAUCUUUUUUUUUU